AAAUCUCAUUAUUAAAAAAAAUAGAAGCCAAUUAUUUUUAAGAAAUUGAAUUUUAGUUUUAUUUUAAAAAGUUUCAGUUAUUUUAUUAAAUACAAAAAAUGAGUCAAACAUAGAUGUGAUACAAGUGAUGCCUACUUAACAUUUUAUUGAUUUCCUCCCUUUCCUUGAUUAAAACUUUAAUACCAGGAAAGGUGUCACUUAAUUCCUAGGGAUUCCAAUAGAUUGUGAAAACUUUCCACUCUCUAUUGUUGAUCCCAUCAUCGGUGUCCAAAUAACUGAAGGUAUUAUGUGUGUGGUGCACCUAAUUAUAUACAAAUGCAAAUUAUGAGUUGAACACGUAUAGAAUAGUUUAAGAAAAAUUAAUCUAAUUAUUUUAUUUUAUUAGGUAUAAGACGAAAUUAUCAUUACGCCCAACAAACCAUUAAUUAUUAUUUCUUUAGGUUCAAGAUGCAAUUAUCAUCGAACCUAUGAUCUUUAUUUUAUUUUAUUUUGCAAGAUUUCAGAUGAAAUUAUCAUUAAAU
rnacentral:misc_RNA from 1 species